rnacentral:rRNA from 1 species
GAUGAACGCUGGCGGCGUGCUUAACACAUGCAAGUCGAACGAAGCACUUUAUUUGAUUUCCUUCGGGACUGAUUAUUUUGUGACUGAGUGGCGGACGGGUGAGUAACGCGUGGGUAACCUGCCUUGUACAGGGGGCUAACAGUUGGACACGGCUGCUAAUACCGCAUAAGCGCACGGCAUCGCAUGCUGCAGUGCGAAAAACUCUGGUUGUAUAGGAUGGACCCGCGUUGGUUUAGCAAGUUGGUGCGGUAACGGGCCACCAAGGCGACGAUCCAUAGCCGGGCUGAGAGGGUGGGCCGCCACAGUGGGAGUGGGACACGGCCCAAACUCCUACGGGAGGCAGCAGUGGGUAAUAGUGCACAAUGGGCGAAAGCCUGAUGCAGCGACGCCGCGUGAGCGAAGAAGUAUGUCGGUAUGUAAAGCUCUAUCAGCAGGGAAGAUAAUGACGGUACCUGACUAAGAAGCACCGGCUAACUACGUG